UCCUUGUCUUGGUUAGCAGAGUGAUUGCCCCGAGUAGGAACAGUCUGGUGCAUAUUAGCUUCUUGUCCGCUCUGAGGGACUUGAUAGCUGUCUCGAGUUAUAACUGGGGUGGUUUGGCAUAUAGCCACCUCUUGUAUGAAAUGGGGCGGGCCUCCCGGACUGCACUGGGGAGUGACCCGAGCAUGGCUGCUCUGUGGAGCGUGCUGGAGAUUUGGAUCUAUGAGCACUUUCUGACUUUGGCGCCGUAGCGUACUAGAGAUGCGGCUUACCCGUAUGUUGCCUCUUGGAUAGGAGCGGUGCGCGUUGGUGCGUCCCUGGCGGCUUCUCGCAGAGCUUGGAGAGUUUUACCUGCUGAUAGGGUGGUAUGGCGUCCUUUUGCCAACGCGGUUGUACCUGCCUCAGCUGCUCGUGCCCAUUUCCUGUCUGGGCGGCGGGUUUUGCUUCCAGGGGUGUACCGCCAUAUGUGGUAUCUGGGGGAGCGGGUGUCCCC